UACGGAAGGCAGCAGUGGGGAAUAUUGCACAAUGGGCGCAAGCCUGAUGCAGCCAUGCCGCGUGUAUGAAGAAGGCCUUCGGGUUGUAAAGUACUUUUCAGCGAGGAGGAAGGCGUUGUGGUUAAUAACCGCAACGAUUGACGUUACUCGCAGAAGAAGCACCGGCUAACUCCGUGCCAGCAGCCGCGGUAAUACGGAGGGUGCAAGCGUUAAUCGGAAUUACUGGGCGUAAAGCGCACGCAGGCGGUCUGUCAAGUCGGAUGUGAAAUCCCCGGGCUCAACCUGGGAACUGCAUCCGAAACUGGCAGGCUAGAGUCUUGUAGAGGGGGGUAGAAUUCCAGGUGUAGCGGUGAAAUGCGUAGAGAUCUGGAGGAAUACCGGGUGGCGAAGGGCGGGCCCCUGGGACAAAGCUGACGCUCAGGUGCGAAAGCGUGGGGAGCAAACAGGGAUUAGAAUAC
rnacentral:rRNA from 1 species